rnacentral:rRNA from 1 species
UCCGUAGGCGGGAAUAUAAGUCAGUGGUGAAAUCUUACAGCUCAACUGUAAAAUUGCCAUUGAUACUGGAUUUCUUGAAUUAGUGUGAAGUGGUUAGAAUGUGUAGUGUAGCGGUGAAAUGCAUAGAUAUUACACAGAAUACCAAUUGCGAAGGCAGAUCACUAACACUAUAUUGACGCUAAGGGACGAAAGCGUGGGGAGCGAACAGGAUUAGAUACCCUGGUAGUCC